UAGAGUUUGAUUCUGGCUCAGAUUGAACGCUGGCGGUAUGCUUAACACAUGCAAGUCGAACGGAAACGAUACUAGCUUGCUAGUAGGCGUCGAGUGGCGGACGGGUGAGUAACGCGUAGGAAUCUGCCUGAUAGUGGGGGAUAGCCCGAAGAAAUUCGGAUUAAUACCGCAUAAUCUAUUCGUAGUAAAGUGGGGGACUUUCGAGCCUCACGCUAUCAGAUGAGCCUGCGUAAGAUUAGCUUGUUGGUAGGGUAAAAGCCUACCAAGGCGACGAUCUUUAGCUGGUCUGAGAGGAUGAUCAGCCACAUCGGGACUGAGACACGGCCCGAACUCCUACGGGAGGCAGCAGUGGGGAAUAUUGGACAAUGGGGGCAACCCUGAUCCAGCAAUACCGCGUGUGUGAAGAAGGCCUGAGGGUUGUAAAGCACUUUCAAUUGUGAAGAAAAGUUAGCGGUUAAUAACCGUUAGCCUUGACGUUAACUUUAGAAGAAGCACCGGCUAACUCCGUGCCAGCCGCCGCGGUAAUUCA
rnacentral:rRNA from 1 species